rnacentral:rRNA from 1 species
UGGGGAAUUUUGCACAAUGGGGGAAACCCUGAUGCAGCGACGCCGCGUGAUUUAGAAGGCCUUCGGGUUGUAAAAAUCUUUUCUAUGGGAAGAAAAUGACAGUACCAUAGGAAUAAGGACCGGCUAAUUACGGGCCAGCAGCCGCGGUAAUACGUAAGGUCCGAGCGUUGUCCGGAAUCAUUGGGCGUAAAGGGUACGUAGGCGGGUAAGCAAGUUAGAAGUGAAAUCCUAUAGCUCAACUAUAGUAAGCUUUUAAAACUGCUCAUCUUGAGGUAUGGAAGGGAAAGUGGAAUUCCUAGUGUAGCGGUGAAAUGCGCAGAUAUUAGGAGGAAUACCGGUGGCGAAGGCGACUUUCUGGCCAUAACCUGACGCUGAGGUACGAAAGCGUGGGUAGCAAACAGG